rnacentral:rRNA from 1 species
AUCCAGACUCCUACGGGAGGCAGCAGUGGGGAAUAUUGCACAAUGGGGGAAACCCUGAUGCAGCGACGCCGCGUGAGCGAUGAAGUAUUUCGGUAUGUAAAGCUCUAUCAGCAGGGAAGAAAAUGACGGUACCUGACUAAGAAGCCCCGGCUAACUACGUGCCAGCAGCCGCGGUAAUACGUAGGGGGCAAGCGUUAUCCGGAUUUACUGGGUGUAAAGGGAGCGUAGACGGCUGUGCAAGCCAGAUGUGAAAGCCCGGGGCUCAACCCCGGGACUGCAUUUGGAACUGUGUAGCUGGAGUGUCGGAGAGGCAGGCGGAAUUCCUAGUGUAGCGGUGAAAUGCGUAGAUAUUAGGAGGAACACCAGUGGCGAAGGCGGCCUGCUGGACGAUGACUGACGUUGAGGCUCGAAAGCGUGGGGAGCAAACAGGAUUAGAUACCCUGGUA